rnacentral:rRNA from 1 species
AUUGAACGCUGGCGGCAUGCCUUACACAUGCAAGUCGAACGGCAGCACGGGUGCUUGCCCCUGGUGGCGAGUGGCGAACGGGUGAGUAAUACAUCGGAACAUGUCCUGUAGUGGGGGAUAGCCCAGCGAAAGCCGGAUUAAUACCGCAUACGAUCCACGGAUGAAAGCGGGGGACCUUCGGGCCUCGCGCUAUAGGGUUGGCCGAUGGCUGAUUAGCUAGUUGGUGGGGUAAAGGCCUACCAAGGCGACGAUCAGUAGCUGGUCUGAGAGGACGACCAGCCACACUGGGACUGAGACACGGCCCAGACUCCUACGGGAGGCAGCAGUGGGGAAUUUUGGACAAUGGGCGAAAGCCUGAUCCAGCAAUGCCGCGUGUGUGAAGAAGGCCUUCGGGUUGUAAAGCACUUUUGUCCGGAAAGAAAUCCUUGACUCUAAUACAGUCGGGGGAUGACGGUACCGGAAGAAUAAGCACCGGCUAACUACGUG